UGAGUCAUCUCGCUCUGGGAGAGAGAUGUGGCUGCAGCAGGCUGGGAUGGGCUAUAAAUAGACUUCACCCACUUUCAGUUUUCUUUCUGUAAGUGGCUCCAUGCUGGGGACACGUGCGAUCGCGGCCAGGCUGAGAAGAUGAAUGUUGGUUCGCUCCUCUUCCCAGUCCAUGCUGCUUCCCCUCUUGAUUCUCCACUUUGCCGUGGCAGAAACCUCAGCACCAGAUAUUGUAGCUCAGUUUGGGGGGGACGUCACCCUGAGCUGCCUCUUCCCGUCCCCGCCUGGGAUGAACCUCCAGCGCCUGACCCUCACCUGGCAGAAGGAACGGGCGGGGGCAGAGGACCUGGUAGUUCAUAGUUACUAUUACGGGAAGGAGCAGCUGGAGAGACAGGACGAGGCUUAUAGGAACCGGACUCGGCUGGAUCCAGAGGGGCUGGCCCAGGGGAAUGCAUCCGUGACACUGAGGGGCGUCCGCAUCCAGGACGAGGGCGUCUAUCUCUGCCACAUCACCGCGGAGCAGGGCAAGAUUUCAGAAAGGAGACAGGUUAAAGUGAUGGCCCCGUACUCGGAGGCCCGACUGGAGGUUAGCGUGAGCAGCCAGUUGACCCUGACCUGCUGUGCGGAGGGCGGGUACCCCGAGGCCUCUGUGCUGUGGCUGGACGGAGCCGGGAACAACGUGACGGCGGAGAGCGACACCAGGCUGCAGAGAGACCCCAGGGGGCUCUGUGAUGUGAGCAGCCGAAUCCUCCUGCCCAGGGGAGAAAGCGUCAACUACACCUGCCUCCUGGAGAGCCCCGGACAGCCCCGCAUCAUCCGACACCUGAGCGUCUCCGGCAGCCCAGAUAAAUCCAGAGCUGCUAAAAUCCAUCUGCGGGGAGCGCUCAGGUUUUGCUCCGUGUGUUGGGCAGCUGUAUGACUUGAUGAGCCUGCACACAUCCCAGCAGCCACAGUUCUUUGGCAAGUGUCCUGUUCAUGUCGGACGUCUUCCAGGAUAGUCAUGGCUUCCUAACUCCCAGCAAGGCGGGGUCGUUUCUGUGCCCCGGAGCUGUUUUGAUCCCUGCGGGUGCCCCCAGCGACGUGGCAGCUAAUGGAAACUAAAGUGCAGGGACGUUACAAUAAAUGGACGUGUUUUCAGUGUAAA